rnacentral:lncRNA from 9 species
AGUACUAAUCAAGUCAGGCCUCUCUCAUGGCGCAGGCACCUAGCUUGUGCAGAUACUUCCACUGUUGAGUGUGUACCUCUUCUCACACUCUCACCUUCAACUUAUCUUUUUGCUUUUUGUCAAGAGCAAAAUACUAGGGUUAUUAUGUAUUAGGCUUUAAAGUAAGCUUCUCCCUCUUGGCCUCUGUGUUGGCCAGGAAGAGGAAGAUGACAGUAGUCAACAUUUCUUGCUGUUCAUUAUUCUCAUUCCUUUUUUCCCUUUCUUUCUUUUUACGGUCACACCUGUAGCAUAUGGAAGUUUCCAGGCUAGGGGUUGAAUCAGAGCUGCAACUGCUGGCCUACACCACAGUCACAGCAACGCCAGAUCCAAGCCACAACUGUGACCUACACCACAGCUCAAGGCAUUGCUGGAUCCUUAACCCACUGAGUGAGGCCAGGAAUGGAAGCCGAAUCCUCGCAGAAACAAGCAGAACACAGUUAAAGGUUCCUUGGCUCACAACAGAUCAUUGACCAAUUAGAUGAUCAUGGCCCCCACCCAAUUAACACAGAAGAAAGAAGCUUCAUGGAAUUAUAGAAAGUAAUGGAUAAAGCGUGAAAGGUGAAUAAACACUGAUCAGACUCUGGGGCACAUCACUGGCAGUGAGGGGGCCUUUUCUUCCUUUAACUGGGUGAAACCUGUCAUCUUCUCCAUCUUUGCUCUACGCUCUUCUAUCCAUGGACUCUACAAUGUGUCUGGUACACUGAAGAAUAUGGAAGUUCCCAGGCUAGGGGAUGAACCAGAGGUACAGCUGCGGGCCUACACCAUAGCCAUAGCAAUGCUGAAUCAGGGCUGCAUCUGCAACCUACUCCAUAGCUUGCAGAAAUACCAGAUCUUUAAUCCACUGAGCGAGGCCAUUUAUCAAACCUGCAUCUUCAUGGAGACUAUCCUGGGUUCUUAACCCACUGAGCCACAAUGGGAACUCCAUGAUGAAUAGUUUUUAAGGAACAGUAUUUAAAACAUACACUGGGCAUUGAUGUAGAGAUGGAAAAUAGAAAACUGGAUGCAUCAGUCUAUAGAGUUGAAAGUCUAUAUUUGGAAGGUCAUCAGUAUAUAGAAAGUUUCUGACAGCAUGGAUGUAAAUGAGCACUGAAGAGAAAUGUACACUGUGUUAAUAGAGAGAGUUUCACCAUGGGGCUUUGGGGAAUGGCAAUUUUAUCUGAGCAAUAGUUAGAAGAAGCCUAUAAUGAGGAUUGAGAAAUAGCCAGAGAAGUAUGAGGCAAUGAUGUAAAAAGCCAAGAAGAGAGUUACAAAAGGAAAGAGGAUGAUGUCAUAAAAUGCUGCAAAGAGGAAACAUAGGGUAAGGAGAAUAUUGAUGAUCUGGGAUAGAUCAAUUUCAUUAAAUUUACAAGGGUGAAAAAGAUCUGGUAGGAUCAGAAGAAAAUAAGGGGCCCCAUAUUUGUAAAUGUUUGAGGGGUGGGGCAGGGAGCAGUCAGGGAGCCUCUGUGAAGUAGAGUAGAGAGUGGCCAUCUGGAAUGAUGGAGAAGGUGAUGGAUAAGUGGCUUCUAAAAGAAUGGGAAGGAUCUGAAAAAGCUGUUGGAGAGUAAUAAGUCAUUUUAGGCCUCAGGAAAGGACAGCUAUGUGGUUCUCAGGAUGGAGCCAAGAUUUAAAAGAAUGAAUUUGUAUUAGCACUAAUCUACACACGUUUAUGACUUUUUCUCCCUGGUACUUAGUAACUCAGGUAUGUCAACAAGAGGAUGAGUGAUUGGGUUGAUACAGGGUUAUGCUUUUCUGGGAAGGUUCAAUGGAUUUAUAAAUUAGCAUGGAAGUUGAGAAUAUUGACCAAAGCAUGGUGGGAGUUUUGGCUCGCAUAAUUUAAGCGAGGCUUGGAGGGCUCACUGAAGUGGAAGAAUAUGUAUUAAAGAUGAGACAGCUGAAAGGAAUUGUGGUCAGAAAGAAAUGCUGUACAGAUUAGGGAUGAGCUGAGUUUUCCUCAUGGACAUGAAAUAGGCAGAGGAUGAAGCAGGACUUCUGGAAAAUAUAUUGUAAAAUAUGAAUACCUGCAAUGAUAUUCUUGUACCAGGAGGUAAGACGGCUCCAUAAAUGACAAGGGUGGACAAUGACAUAGCUGCACUGCAUAAGCCUCAAAGGAAGAGAUACAGAAAUGAUAUAAAGAAGGAAUUAAUAGGAGUUCCUGCUGUGGCAGAGAGAGUUAAGGAUCUGGUGUUGUCACUACAGUGACUUGGGUCACUGCUAUGGCAAGGGUUUGAUCCCUGGCCCUGGGAACUUCCACAUGCUGCAUACGUGGCAAAAAAAAAAAAAAAAAAAAAAAAAAAAAAAAAAAA